GCACCAAAAUAAAAAUAAAAAUAAAAAAUUGUGGGUAAAAUGUGUGUUGCGUGAAAGACUCAUAAAAACUCUUUUAUUUUCUGCUGCUGCUGAACUAGUGAACCCUACCAAAAAAAAAAAAAACUAAAAAUUCAUACCCCACUCUUUUAAAUUAAUUUUGUUCCAUAACUCUAUAAAAGGUGCUUGACAUACUACAUAACAUAUUGCUAGAGUGGUCCUUGUUCUUCUUCUUCACUCUCUCUUUCUCUCUCCUCCUUCAUCCUUCAGCUCAUAGCUCAGCUCGUUCAAUUCUCCUUCAUAGCUCAGCUCGGAUCGGCUCGGUCCUAGGCGGUGAAUUAAUGUUAAAGGAAGUCCUGUCAUGCUUUUCCACAGCUUUCUUGAACUUUCCUCUCCCUCGUCAUAGAGUAUAGUUUCUCCGUUCGUACAACGAGGCCAACUGAAGGCCAAUUUUGGUUUGAAAUUCUUCGCGGAAAGUUCAAGAAAGCUGUGGGAAAAUAUGGCGUUUUUUAGGACUUUGCUCAGAUCACAUACAAGGUGGUAGGUAGUCCAUACAUCAUCUCACCAAAUGUUGCUAAUUUCUAAAUGCGGAUAAUUAUGAAAUGCGGACUAUGAAUUAUGAAAUGCGGACUACUCCGUAUGAAUUAUGAAGUCGGUUAAUUAUUUCUUCAUCAACCUUUAUCUACGUACGGAUUUGGCCUUGAGAAUUCAUCAAGGAAAAUAUAGAGAAUUCUCAACCUUUUCCUUUUGUCACAUAGAUCAGAGAUGAAUAGAUGAUGAUGAAAAUUUGGUAAUGAUAAGUCUCCCCUUCUUGUCCUUUGGGUAUAAUAUUAAUUCACUUUUAUUUAUUUUCUUGUUAAAUAAAUUUACACUUUGUCUAUAUCAUAAAUAAAAAAAAAUUUUCCCUCAAAAAAAAAAUAUUAAUUUUUAAACUCUCUUAUUUUAACUUUUUCAUUGUCUCUUGUGAAAAAGAACAUAAAUUUUAUUCUGACUUCUGUUUUCUGGUUUUCUGUUGUUUAGAUGCAUCAAAACAAAUGGUAAAUUAAGACUAGGAAGUAGGAACCUGGACCUCAUGCAGUGAAUGACAUUAUUAUCCAAUUACUAGCUAGUACAAAAUUAAAGUUUAAUUUGUUAAAAAAAAAUUGAAAAAAACUUUUAAUGAUUCUAAAGGCAAAGUGUUUUUUUGCCAUUGAACGUAGAUUUUGGUUUAUACUUCAUCGAAUGCAUAUAGGUCAACAGAAUAUACCUCUUUUUUCCUUCACGGUGAAGACAUAUGGAGUACUUAAAUUCAUAACCAAUUAUUUCCCAUUCAUAACCAAUUAUUUCCCUUACAAUUUUAGAGAAUAAUUUCGUCUACGUACAUCACGUGUUUUUAACUUUGGUACAUAUUAGAUUGUUAUAUUGAAGAAUAAUUAGUCAUCUUUAGCCCGACCUUUUAAUUGGCUUAGGCUUAUUACUUAUUAGUCAUAAAUAGAUCACGUGUGGUGAGAGAAUUAGUCAUUAUUGUUGGUGUUGGCAUGGCAUAUCGAUAGCUCACUCAACUUGAAUUAUUUGAUUUAGGAAUUAUGAAAACUUGUUAGCCUUAAUUGAAGAUCCAAGAUUUAAUUUUGAUAUCAUAACAAUGUGUACAAAUGACAUUCAUAUAGGUGUAACUUGUAAAGGUAUAAAUGGUCCCAAAAAAAUGGGGUUGAUUUUGAUGAUAGGGUGGUAGGCAGAUGAACACAUGACAACCAUGAAUCUCAAUAAUGUUGCUGCUCAUCUACUGCUACGCUGCUGCUGCUUAUCAAUUUUGUGUUUGUCUGCCACACAAACUAGCUUAGGACUGUUUCCUCCAAAUAACUAUGAAAGGAUAAUUUGGCUAUAUGUCCGGUUAUGUUUAUUUUAUUUUCACUUAUUUUAAAAUUUAUAAGGGUUUAUUUGGUAUCACGGUUAAUUUUUCAGUUUUUAAUUUAUAAUUUUAAAAUUUAUAUGAUUUAGAUUGGAUUGUGAAUUAAAAAUAGUCUACAUAUGAAAUCAUGUCGAUUUUAUAACUGACAAUAUAUAAAAAAGAUACAAAACGUUAAGUUUUAAUAAUUUCAGAUAAGUGAAAAUCAUAUAAAUAAAACGCACCUAGAUUUAGACUCAAAAGUAUUAAAGAUGGCAAUGAGUCGAGCUACGCCAAGUCACAACCAGUGGUGGAGCCAUGCGGGUGCAAGGGGGGUCCACCAACCCCACAAAGAAAAUUUGAAAAAGAAAAAACUUAGAGCUGAGAGCUAAGAGCUAAGAGCUAAGAAACCUGUGAUAAUCUAGAACUGAUCUCUUAGGUGAUACUAAAAAAAUCAGCUCCGCACGUUAGACAUCGAGUAUAACUGUGGGGAUAAGACUAAAGACCAGUAUUUAUAAACAACCGGUCUUUUAGAGUUUUGAAUAACAGAUCUUUUCACCCAACAUAUGAAACACGUAGAGAAUACUUGUAGUAAUUUUAUAGGUAUUUGAUUGUAAUAUGAAUAUUGAUUAAUUUUAGGACGAAACAAUUUUUUUUAGUAUGUAUUAUGUGUUGUGGAAGAUCACCAGAUACAACACUCUAAAAAUCAUGGAAACACCACUGCCGACACCCCGAAAAAAAAUCAUGGCUCCGCCACUGGUCACAACACAAAAAAGUAUGGCCCGACACCAGCAGGAAGUCGUGCAUGAGCCGGGAGCUUGACCCGAGUAGCAAUUUUUUUGAAAAAAGCACGAUAAAGCACAACACGACACGACCGUGUACGACAAAACAUGAUAAAUUGAGUGAAAUUAUGCUUAGACACGAAGACAUAAUCUGACACGAGGGCAUCUGGGCUUGGACCACGACUGAACCAUAUUUUGAAAUUUUUAGCCCGACCAUGUACGUAACAAAUGAGCUUGCCGUGGAUAGAAAUCAUUCAGGCCCAGGACACGUGAACUUGACAAGAAGCACAGCUAAUCCGGCCACAACCAUCUUUAAAAAGUAUAAAUUCCAAUUAAGAAGUAAAUUCAACAAACAAUUUUUCCAUUUGUUUUUUUCAGGAAGCAAUUUUGUACACUUAUUGUAUUUUCAUUUCUCUCAGUUGUAUGUGGAAUCUUUUCCUUAUAAAAGGUGAACAAAAUAGACCCCAUGUCUCCAUGAAUUACUUUUUCUAAUAAAUAUUUAUGAAAAGAAAUCAUUUCUAAUAAUUUCCUCCAUUUCUAAAUUUUUCUAUAGGCUGUUGAGGGGAGGUGGUCCACCACAAGUAGUUGUAUCAAAAGCCAGACAACAGGAAAUGGCAGUUUUUGGCAAACGAUGAAAACAAAUUAAUUAAUUAUUUGGAUUGUAUUCACUAUAAAAUUCUUUUAUUAAUGUGCCUUAAUUAGUUUCAUCCAGUUUUAAGUUAAACAAUGGGAACUCAACUUUCACAUUUUUCA